rnacentral:rRNA from 1 species
ACUCAAAGGAAUUGACGGGGGCCCGCACAAGCGGCGGAGCAUGUUGCUUAAUUCGAUGCAACGCGAAGAACCUUACCUAGGUUGAACUACGCAGGAAAAGCCAUAGAGAUAUGGUGUCCGAAAGGGUCUGCGAUAGGUGGUGCAUGGCUGUCGUCAGCUCGUGUCGUGAGAUGUUGGGUUAAGUCCCGCAACGAGCGCAACCCUUAUUCUAUGUUGCCAGCGGGUAAUGCCGGGGACUCGUAGAAGACUGCCGGGGUCAACUCGGAGGAAGGUGGGGAUGACGUCAAGUCAUCAUGCCCCUUAUGCCUAGGGCUGCAAACAUGCUACAAUGGCUGGUACAAAGGGCUGCUAUUCCGCGAGGAUGAGCGAAUCCCAUAAAGCCAGUCUCAGUUCGGAUUGGAGUCUGCAACUCGACUCCAUGAAGUCGGAGUCGCUAGUAAUCCCGGAUCAGCAAUGCCGGGGUGAAUACGUUCCCGGGCCUUGCACACACCGCCCGU